CCAGCAACUACAUUUUACAAAGUCCAAAGAAACAGCUCAAAUUACACUAUUCUAUUUAACCUCAUAUAUCCAUAUUAUUACCAUUUCAACAGGUAAUCCAUAUAAGAUUUACAAAUGAGAUAUUUUACAUCUUUUUUUUUGUAUUAACUCUUCAGAGUCCAGUGUGUAGUUGAGUGUCAUGGCACAUCUCAACCAGACCAACACAUUUGAAGUGCUCAGUGGCUCCACGUGGUCGGUGGCUGCCGUAUUGGACAGCAUGAAUCACGAUGAGGUCUGAAGACACACCCAGCUAUGACAUUCUAUGAUUCCAUGACAGGCCACCCCUGGACUGCUUUGUCCUUUUUGUUAGUUAUCCUUCUUCUUCUGGACCAUCAAUUUUCAAGGACUCCUGUGUCAACCUGAGCCCAGGAAGAAAUAACAUAUAACUAGACCCUCCUGUCCCAGGUAGGCUGCAGACCUCCCAGGAACAAAGCAGUUAACUUACCUUGGGAAAUUGCUUUGCAGUCCCGUGUGAAAGAAGAUGAUACAUACAGAAGCAAAGUAAUUAGUCUGUGAGCAUGUCUUCUUACACAGUCAUCGACGUAAGCGCGCUCUGUGAUGCAUAUUCCUGCCUGAAGCCUCAGGAAACUUAAUUAACUAUCUCCUGUAAAAGUGCAAGAGAUGCUCCAGAUGAAAGGUGGCCAGUGGGAGCCAAGCAUCGUCCCGAGGAACAUCUGAUUGUGUCCAUCCCCAGGCUGCACCAUUACAAGCCCGGACUGACGUCAGUCACUUUCUGCAGCCCACAGGAUCAGGGGUGUGUGUUCUUCCCAGUGACGCGUCUGUGGUUCCUCCUCUUAGCUCCCACACAGACAUCCUUCAAGAAGGGGAAGACAGCUUUCAGACCAAGCACAAGGAGGUUUCAGACAAUUCAGCAGGCUGUGGUAGAGUUCCUGGAAUGGAGCAGAAAGCCCAAAAUAGAUAUCCGGGAAAAAAGAGGAAAUGGUGACAAAGAACUUCCUUUAAAAUGA
rnacentral:lncRNA from 1 species